CAGUCGCCGCGGUAAUACGAAGGGGGCUAGCGUUGUUCGGAUUUACUGGGCGUAAAGGGCGCGUAGGCGGACUGAUAAGUCAGGGGUGAAAUCCCAAGGCUCAACCUUGGAACUGCCUUUGAUACUGUUUGUCUUGAGUUCGAGAGAGGUAAGUGGAACUGCGAGUGUAGGGGUGAAAUUCGUAGAUAUUCGCAAGAACACCAGUGGCGAAGGCGGCUUACUGGCUCGAAACUGACGCUGAGGCGCGAAAGCGUGGGGAGCAAACAGGAUUAGAUACCCCCGUAGUCCCUGUCUCUUAUAC
rnacentral:rRNA from 1 species